GAGAUCAGGAAGACUUAGAAGAAGUUGAUUGUUUUUGCAGUAAGAGAUCAAGGAUUCACUUGCUUUCUUUUCCAUGAAAAACAUGAAAGCUGGAAUGAAGUUUUAUUGGAAGUGAUGCACCUUCACUGCCAAUAGCAAUCAAAUGAGUAAUGGAGUGACAGAAGGAGUAACUCAAAAGCUCAGAUAAGGCUGUAGCAUCAUGCCUGGAAAUGAGAGUGUUCCUGUCAGAAUGAGGAUGGAUCAUCAGUCUUGAAUACCUGAAGCUUAGGUAUCAUGCAAGACCACUCCUGUUCAUCCAAAGAUGACCAUCUGUAAAGGAGCUGUUGGCAGAAGUCCCUGUUGUCUGCUGAAACCUGGAUCUUCCAU